GCCAUUUUGUAUCUCUGAGUCUUGGCUUUCUCACUUGCUUGUGCUGGCUGGAGUAUUAUAAGGGCAAGAUGUUGAUUUUAUUUGCUGCUGAGCCUUCUAUAUUACUACUCUGCCUCUCCAAUGCUUCUAAUAGCCAUGCGAGUGACUCUUUUUAGAACAUGCAAGCACUGAAUUUUGACUUGCACCCCUGUCCUCUACCAUGAUCAAUUUUUUACUGGAGUGUGGGUUUGAACAGGAAUUUUAAAUAUGUAGGAAGACCCUUUUCACCCUCGAGCAGUCUGAUACUGCUAUCCUUCCUGCGGAGGCAAAAUCAUUGUAUCCUCAUCAGCUCCACAGUCUGCAAGAGGUCCAGAUGUGAUCUCUGACCCAGAGCUGCCAAGGCUGGAAUAAUCUUGGUGUUUGAAAAUAGAAGCAGCUUCAUA